rnacentral:rRNA from 1 species
UACAGAGGGGGCUAGCGUUGUUCGGAAUUACUGGGCGUAAAGCGUGCGCAGGCGGCCUCUUAAGUCAGAUGUGAAAUCCCCGGGCUUAACCUGGGAACUGCGUUUGAAACUGGGAGGCUUGAGUGUGGAAGAGGGGGGUGGAAUUCCAGGUGUAGCAGUGAAAUGCGUAGAGAUCUGGAGGAACACCGAUGGCGAAGGCAGCCCCCUGGGCUGACACUGACGCUGAGGCGCGAAAGCUAGGGUAGCAAACGGG